AAAUAAUAAAGUAAAUGAAAGGGAUUGGAAACGGGUGCGUGGGCGUAGCCCAACCUCCAUUCAUUUGUAUUGUAACUAAGCAUACAGAGGAGCAAUAUCUGGCGAAGGACUGUUCUCAUGUUAGUGAAACUGAUGCAUCAAGAAGCCUAAUGUUUCCUCUCAACACUACUGUUAUCUAUUGCACAGAAAAUGUUAUAGUUUUAAUGAUACAGCCCAUUUUUACCCUUAAAAUGCCAUUUAUUUCAUUAUUCUCCCUUUUCUCAAAACAUGCCAAAGUAAAACUGGAAA